rnacentral:rRNA from 1 species
CCAUGAAGCUGGAUUCGCUAGUAAUCGCGCAUCAGCCACGGCGCGGUGAAUACGUUCCCGGGCCUUGUACACACCGCCCGUCAAGCCAUGGAAGCCGGGAGUGCCUGAAGUGCGUAACCGCGAGGAGCGCCCUAGGGUAAAACUGGUGAUUGGGGCUAAGUCGUAACAAGGUAAC